AGUGAACGCUGGCGGUAGGCCUAACACAUGCAAGUCGAACGGCAGCACAGUAAGAGCUUGCUCUUACGGGUGGCGAGUGGCGGACGGGUGAGGAAUACAUCGGAAUCUACUUUUUCGUGGGGGAUAACGUAGGGAAAGUUACGCUAAUACCGCAUACGACCUACGGGUGAAAGCAGGGGAUCUUCGGACCUUGCGCGACUGAGUGAGCCGAUGUCGGAUUAGCUAGUUGGCGGGGUAAAGGCCCACCAAGGCGACGAUCCGUAGCUGGUCUGAGAGGAUGAUCAGCCACACUGGAACUGAGACGCGGUCCAGACUCCUACGGGAGGCAGCAGUGGGGAAUAUUGGACAAUGGGCGGAAGCCUGAUCCAGCCAUACCGCGUGGGUGAAGAAGGCCUUCGUGGUGUAAAGCCCUUUUGUUGGGAAAGAAAAGCAGCAGGUUAAUACCCCGCUGUUCUGACGGUACCCAAAGAAUAAGCACCGGCUAACUUCGUG
rnacentral:rRNA from 1 species